rnacentral:rRNA from 1 species
AACGGGUGAGUAACGCGUGAGGAACCUGCCUCAAAGAGGGGGACGAACAGUUGGAAACGACUGCUAAUACCGCAUAAGCCCACGGGUCGGCAUCGACCAGAGGGAAAAGGAGCAAUCCGCUUUGAGAUGGCCUCGCGUCCGAUUAGCUAGUCGGUGAGGUAAUGGCCCACCAAGGCAACGAUCGGUAGCCGGACUGAGAGGUUGAACGGCCACAUUGGGACUGAGACACGGCCCAGACUCCUACGGGAGGCAGCAUG